rnacentral:rRNA from 1 species
AACGAACGCUGGCGGCAUGCCUAACACAUGCAAGUCGAACGAGAUCUUCGGGUCUAGUGGCGCACGGGUGCGUAACGCGUGGGAAUCUGCCCUUUGGUUCGGAAUAACAGUUGGAAACAACUGCUAAUACCGGAUGAUGACGAAAGUCCAAAGAUUUAUCGCCAGAGGAUGAGCCCGCGUAGGAUUAGCUAGUUGGUGUGGUAAAGGCGCACCAAGGCGACGAUCCUUAGCUGGUCUGAGAGGAUGAUCAGCCACACUGGGACUGAGACACGGCCCAGACUCCUACGGGGGGCAGCAGUGGGGAAUAUUGGACAAUGGGCGAAAGCCUGAUCCAGCAAUGUCGCGUGAGUGAUGAAGGCCUUAGGGUUGUAAAGCUCUUUUACCCGGGAUGAUAAUGACAGUACCGGGAGAAUAAGCUCCGGCUAACUCCGUGCCAGCCGCCGCCGUAA